GGAUUACCUAACAUAACAUAACAAAAUAUAAACAACGAAAAUGACGCUUCGAGGACAAGAAUUCGAGAAAUAAAGUUUACUUGGUCUUUUGUGAUGUUCCAAUUCCAUUUUUUUGAAAGUGACUCAUCAUGUUAUAGUGUGAUGUUUUCUGAAUGACUUUAUGUGAUAGUGUGAACGUUCUCUGACUGGCAGAAGGAUAUUCAGUUUUCUUUUUGCCCCACCUUGUCAGUCUGGUGCUAAAAAGAUUGAUUUCAAAUUGGUUUCUCAAAUACGAGCAGACGAUUUAGAAAGAAGAAUCUCAAGUGUUUUAAUAAAUUUGAUUUUCAUUCAAAGUCAAUCUCAU